rnacentral:rRNA from 1 species
ACUUUGGGUGCAGAAUAGAGGGGAGUUUACCAACAUCCUUGAGAUACCCUCACCAAAUCGUUUGUUCACUCACUUAGUUUGGCCAGUUCAAGA